rnacentral:rRNA from 1 species
GACGAACGCUGGCGGCGUGCUUAACACAUGCAAGUCGAACGGAAAGGCCCUGCUUUUGUGGGGUGCUCGAGUGGCGAACGGGUGAGUAACACGUGAGUAACCUGCCCUUGACUUUGGGAUAACUUCAGGAAACUGGGGCUAAUACCGGAUAGGAGCUCCUGCUGCAUGGUGGGGGUUGGAAAGUUUCGGCGGUUGGGGAUGGACUCGCGGCUUAUCAGCUUGUUGGUGGGGUAGUGGCUUACCAAGGCUUUGACGGGUAGCCGGCCUGAGAGGGUGACCGGCCACAUGGGGAAGGAGAUACGGCCAAGACUCCGAGGGGAGGAAGAAGGGGGGAAUAUUGCAAAAGGGGCGGAAGCCUGAUGCAGCAACGCCGCGUGCGGGAUGACGGCCUUCGGGUGGUAAACCGCUUGCGCCGGUGAAGAAGCGUGAGGGACGGUAAUGGGUAAAGAAGCACCGGAUAACUACGUG